CCCUGGAAGGAGACACAGCAGCAGGCACAGAAGGUCAGCUUGGAAGGUGGAGCUGAGCUCAUGGCGAAGGAACUGGGCGAUUAUAGAAGCAGCACUAUGUUUUGGGGAGGAAGAGAAAGUCAGGGGCUGUUUAGUCAAGCCAUCCCUGCCUGGUGGCUGGAAUGCUUCAGUCACUGACAACAUCACUAUUGCUAGUCACCUAGCCCUGGGCCAAAACUAGGAGAUACCAGGGUUUGCUGGGGCAUGUCAUCUAAGAACUCUCUGACUGAGUCCAGUUAAAAGCCAUUUACCAAUGUGUAUAAAAGGCUUUAGAAGACCAAAGAAGAAAAGUUAAUCUUUGAGGAAAUACUCACACACACACUAUAUAUAUAUAUAUACACACUCACACACAUACACACACAAACACACAUACAUAUGCAUGCCAUGGGUAUGGGUAAUGAGUAUGUGUGCGUGCAUGUACACAUAUCCACAUUAUAUGAUUUUUAAAGCAAAAAUAUAUUUUUUUAUUUUUUGAGAUUAUAAUUUAAUAACAUUGCUUUCUCCCUUUGUCUCUCUCCAACAUCUCCCAUACACUUCUCCCUGCUUUCCUUCAAAUUCAUGACAUUUUUCAUUGUUAUUGUAUGCAUAGGUGAUUAUAUAUAUAUGUAUAUGUAUAUAUAUAUAUGUGUGUGUGUGUGUGUAUACACACACACACACACACACACAUACAUAUUUACUAAGUAUAACCUGUGGAGUCCGUAUACUGUUACUUGUAUGCAUCUCUGCAGAGCUGACUAGAACUGGACAACCAGUCGGUGUUCUCUUCUCUGGGGAACAACACCUCUCUCCCUCCCAGCUUUCCCCGGUUGCCUGUAGUUCUUUGUGGAAGAUUGAGGUCUCUCGGGCUUUUCCCUGUCUAGCUUGGCGAGUCUAUUGGUGCUGUCCUUGUUCAGCUCAUGUUUAGGCAGCCAUGUGGGCGAGACUUUUGGGUGUGGCUUCUGACAUUACUAGGAAACACAGUCUCAUAGCAAACUCCCUGAUCCUCUGCCCCUUAUGAUCUUUCUGUCCCCUCUUCAGCAGUGUUCCCUCUGCCUUGGGUGCAGGAGCGUUUUUGUAGACGUAUCUAUUGGGACCAGGCUGUAUAACUCUGAAUUUUCAUUGAUUGUGAUUCUGUGUGUUGACUUCUAUUCUGCACUUAUGUUGGAUUUGGUUAAGAGCUCUCUCUAGGUUCCCAGCAUCUACAUUGAAUAGCUCACAAUGACCUGGAUUUCCAGCAUGCAGAGGGUCUGACCACCGCCCUCUUCUGGCCUCCGUGGACACUGUACUCCAGUGCACAUACCACUCCCCACAAUUAUCCCACACCACAUCCUUAGGGGGUUGUUACAAUGAUGCUAAUAAGAGGUGGAGAAAGGUUUGAGGGUGACAUGGAGCUGGAAUGGUGCAGUGCUUUAGAAAAUAGUGCACAGGUACUGAGGAGAUUCCUCAGUAGCUAGAGUACAGGCUUGUGUAACUAGAGUGCUUCCUGUGCAGGCAUGUGAACCCCCAGGAAUCACGUAAAAUAAAGGGAGCCAGACACGGAGGUCCAUGCUUAUGAUCCCACUGUUUGGGAGGCAGAGGCAAGUGGAAACCUGGCUAACUGGUGAGCUCCAGGCUCAGAGAGAGACUCUGUCUCAAAAAGGAGACUGACCGAGAAAGAAUUGGACGUCGGCCUCUGGCCUCGUCUGUGCAUGUACACACCCACACAAACACAUAUGCCAUAUACACACAUGACACAACACGUAGUUCACAUACAAUCAAUCUACCGUAUACCCUCUGUUACACAGGUUGGUUUCAAAUGUCAACUUUUCACAAUUUAGAAUCUCCUGAGUGGUGCGGCUCCAUUGCAGAAUUAUCUUAACUGGUGGAGAAGACCCACUGACAAGUGUGGGAGGAGUCUAAAGGAGCGUGGCAGAAGAUUUUUCAGGUUUUGUUUUGUUUCACUGGCCUUGCCUGUGGCAGAUGAGUUAAUUAUCUGUUGCUGCAGAAGCCUUCGCUGGUAUCAGAACCAGCUUUUCCUGUGCCUCUCCAGGAACCCUCCAGGUUUCCAUGCCAGAUUGAAACUGUUGAAGCACUUCGCCUCCUGGGCUGAGAAACCACUGGGUCCUUGACCUCUCCGAUGGGAGACAGCUGUGUUGCUAAACUGGCCAUAUUGCAUAUGCUGAUUGAAUAAAUUCUUUAUUCUAUCAGUUCUGUUUCUCUUGAAAACACUGACUGACACACCUCCUGGUAUAUGCCCUCAGGACAUGGAAUCAGACUCUGAUGGACACUUGUAUACCAAGGCCUGUGACAGCGUUAUUCCUAAAAGCCCAAAAGGGGAAACAACUCAGCUACCCACUGCCGAGGGCUGGGCAUGGAGGAUGAGCGCAUAGACAGCGCAGUAUUGUGCAGCCUGUAGAAGAAAUGAACCUUGAAACAGCGAGAUCUCAUCAGUUUCCUGGACAUGGUGUUGAACCAUGAUAAGACUCAGGCACUGCUCCUGCACAAACUAUGCUUGGCUGGGAUGGAGAGCUAGCAAGUUCCAGUAUGUGGAAAUACCAAGGCUAUCUGCUCCACACUUAGGGGAAGAAAAUUCAAGGAACAUCUUCAUUAGCUUCUCUGCCAUGCAAUUUUUGUUUGACUUCAUUCUAGAUAAAAGAAAUUCUGCAGCUGAAAGUCCUUCACUGGACUACGGAGGAAAGGGCAGGAGGUUGAUACACACCUGGGUCCUUGCUUCAGGUCCAUGUGCAUCCAACACACACAGACAUCUAAUGUCCCAGUCCAGUAGCAAACACCAAACAUGAAUCAGCAGCUGCAGUCCAGUAUACUCAGCAGACACUACACACAUGAAUCAGCAAGGGUAAUCCAAUCCAGAAGAAACCGCACCAGCUCGAGUCUACAGAAGCGGCAAGAAGCCGCAGGAACCUCAGGAGAAGUUCUUUGGUGAGUCUCUACGAAGUCACAAGUGGAGCUCAGCCACUCAGUGUAAGGUGAGCGAAUACAUGCGUGUCAUCAGCAAAGACUAGUGACACAGAGUAAGGCAAAUCGACACCAAUCCAACUGAUGCUCCAUCUGCCACUGUCUCUGGGGUCAUAUUUAUAUUCAUUCUAAACGUCACUCAUCCUUUCAUGUGUCUGCUAUAGCAAAACAUCCUUUUACCUGUGUCUGCUUCAGCAAAGCAUCCUUCUCACACAUCUCUCUUUAGCAAAAUAUCCUUUUACUUGUGUGCACCAGCAAACCUUAAUUUGACACAACUGACUUUCCAGAGAAGCCAGACUUUCCCACGUCACUCUCCACUUUUGCAGCACAAGGAUCACAGGCACGUGCACCACCCCCAGCAUUUUAACAUGAGAUGGAAGGUUGUGAAUCAGCUAUCUACACUCACAUGCUGAGAAACUGGAAGACUAGCAAAUGAACCCAAAGAAGGAGGGAGACAGAAAACAACAAAGGUGAGAAAGAGGUCGGCCAAACUGGGGCUGGGAAGACGGCUCCAUGGGUAAACUGCUUGGGGAACAAGCAUGAGAACUGGAAUUCAGAUCCCUAGCACCCACAAACCAAGCCAGGCAGCAUGUUCUUGCAACCUCAGUGGUGGGAAAAGGAGACAGGAGGUCCCCUGGGGCUCACAGGUCAGUCAGCCUUGCUGAAUCCAUAAGGCCUGGGUUCAGUGAGAAACUGUCUCAAUAAGGUAGCAAGAGAUAGAAGAAACACCUGAUAUCAACCUCUGGCCUCCACGUGUGCCUGCAGAAACAUGUACACUCAAACAUAUCUUCAUAGGACACCUCCACAAAAGACAUCCGUAAUUAAAAACAGAAAAUCAACAAAGGAAAAAGGUUGCUUCCACAUGGAAACAUACUACUGUAGAAGCUUCACACACAUGCACACACACACACACACACACACACACACACACCGGCAUGUAUGCAUGGGGACUUAGCCUAUAAGGAGGAAAAUUACCCUCCAACUAGAUACCACAUGCUAGCAAAUGGGUUACAUCAUUCUUUUUAGUUGUUGGCCAGUGGGGUUCUGUGGUGGUUUGAAUAAGAGUGCCCCGCCCCAAAGCUUAUAUAUUUGAAUAGCUAGUCCCUAGGAAGUGGCACUACAUGAAAGAUUUAGACAGAUUAGAAGGUGUGGCCUUGUUGAAGUAGGUGUGGCCUUCUUGAAGGAGGUGUGUCACUGGCGGUGGACUUUGAAAUUUCAAAAGCCCAUGCCUUGCCCAGGUUCUUUCUCUCGGCCUGCAGAUCAGGAUGUAGCUCUCAGCGACUUCUCCAAGACCAUGCUUGUCAUGUUUGCCACCAUAUUCCCUGCCAUGAUGAUAAUGGACCGAGCCUCUGGAUUAAAUUAAUUAAAUGCUUUCCUUUAUAAGAGUUGCUGUGGUCAUGGUGUCUCUUCACAGCAAUAGAACAAUGACUAAGACAAGUCCUACAGACUCCCAAACAUUGCUUGUAAGCCAAAUGGGUACUGACCUGGAAGCUUCUGCCCUACUGGCUAGCUUUCAUGAUGCUGGAAGAUGCAGUCAUGCUACUGGAGGAGGAAAGUAGUCAUGGGUCUUGCCCAGCUGUGAACACUAUGAGCUAUAAACAAUGACUGGCCUGGCUAGAGAUGCCCACUAAUGUAAUAACAGCAUGGACAGUAUUUGAAUUAACAAUACUUUCUGAUUGUACUUAAGGCUUACUCCAUGAUGAGAUUCAACCCAUACCUGACACCACUAAUAGAGUCAAGAACCCACAGCAAGACAGGUCAUAGACCAGAGGGGAAGAGUCUACUAUUAUUAAUGUUGCUAAAUGGACAUAGUAUUAAAAUGAUUCCUAAUGACUUAUUACUCCACCUUUAGGUCAGUAUAUCUUUCAAUCCUCAUCAGAGAAGCUCCUUGCAGCUGGCUGUUAACUCGGAGACCCACAUCUGGCCAAUGUGUACAAAAGAGGAGACUCUGGGGUGUUCAAUCUUAAAUGGGACAUUUAUUUCACAUCUCUCCUCCCAAGGCUUAGGAAUCUUCGCAGAAGAGUGGGUAGAGAGAUUUAAAGAGCCAGAUAUGGCAGAUGAGUUCAGUAAAACAGUGAUUUCUGAAUAUAACAGGGAAAUUGCACAUAUGAAUCCACCGUGACUAUGACAACACACACAAAGCCUUCCUAAGCUCACAGAAGAAAAUAAAAAUUCCCAAUAUGGAGUGGAGGAGAUGGAAAGCAAGUCCCAUGCCUGGCUCACUGGUGUUUGACAUGGCAGUCGAGUUACUGGCAUUUGAGAGCUGAUGGGCAAGAGAAAGCAUGACCCCUCGCAGAUAGACAGUACUCCUGGAGCUUUGCAGAAGUUGCCUGCAGUAAAGAAACUAGAGGGGUAGAGACAGGAGGAUCAUGAAAAAUACAGUGAAAAAUACAGAGAAUCCAGGUUGAGUUGCUUCUGUGUGUCUAGAGUGAAAAAAAAAAUCAAUGAGUAAUCUCACGCCUACCAGGAAAGGACAUCCAGAUGGGUGAGUUUUCUGUGUUUAUAGUGGGACUGCAGUUGUAACGUUAGUGGAGCUACAAGCUUUCUCUGUGCGACUGUGUGUUUACACAUCUGCAAGUCAGAAAGGUUUCUUCCUCUCAGAGUGCAGCAUGGAGCAAUUUCCUAACUCCAGAUACUGUUGCCACAUUUUAUACCAAAUCCCCCUGAUCCAAGGGAUACAGAGAUAAAAACAAGCACUCAGGCAAAAUGACUAUUCCUAAAAUUACCAGGAAUUAAAGAUAUAGAACCUCAAAUGAUUAAGCAGGGGAACCAAAACCAAAACAAAACAAAAAACCUGAGAAAAUCUUGCAAGAAAUAACUUGAGAUUUUUAAUGUGUCAUGGUCACAAGGUUUACUUAAAACGUUGAUAAAGAAGACUAGCUUAAUUUUCAGUUUAAUAGAUGCUGCUAUGUCUUGUCAUUUUAAAGAAGUUUGUGUGUAUGUGUGUACAUAGUGUCUGUGCAUGUCUGUACAUGUUUGUGUGCACAUUGGAGGCCUGAGGUUGAUGGUUGGUCUCUUCCACAGUUACUCUUUACCUUUGUUUUCUCGAUAAGGUCUCUCACUGAAUCUGUUUCCCAAAUGGCUAGAGUCUCUGGCAAGCAAACUUUAGGGAGUGUGUGAGAUAGUUUUAUAUCAAUUUGGCCCAAGCUAUGGCCAUCGAAGAGAAGGGAACCUCAGUUGAGAAAAUGCCCCCAUAAGAGCCAGCUGUGGGAAAGCCUGGAGGGCAUUUUCUUAAUUAGUGACUGAUGGGGAAGGGGCUAUGAUGGGUGGUGUCAUCCCUGGGCGGGUGGUCCUGGGUUCUAUAGGAAAGCAGGCCGAGCAAACCAUGGAGAGCAAGCCAGUAAGCAGCACCCUCCAUGGCCUUUGCAUAAGCUCCUGCCUCCAGGUUCCUGCCAUGUUUGAGUUCUUGUCCUGACUUCCUUCAAUGAAGAACUGUGAUGUGGAAGUGUAAGCCAAAUAAACCCUUUCCUUCCCAAGAUGCUCUGCUCGUGGUGUUUCACAAUGGCAGUAGAACCCCUAAGGCUCUCCCUGCUUCCAGUGUUGGGGUUACAAGUAUGUGCCACUAUGCCUGACUUUUACAGGGGUUCUGGGAAUUUGAAAUCAGGUCUUUAAGUUUGUGCAGACACCUCUUUUCUGGUUUAUUAAUGAUGAACAUAUUUAUAAGUUUUUUUUUAUUCUGUGUGCAUACGUCAUUCUUAAAGUUAUGUGGGCUUUCUGAUGGAACAAGCUAGAGUUAACGCUUACGAUUAUAAAAUGAACAUUUAUGUUUAAUCAAACCUAAUCACCACCCUGGCUAAUCUCCCACUGUGAGGUAGAGAGACAACUUGGGAGAUAAUUUCCACAAUUUUCAGGUAAAUUAGAGCUCUGUGCUAACUAAUGGAUACUGAACUGAUGCCAUGGUCAUUUCAAAGAUAAAAUCCCGAGCUGCUAAUUACUAACCACGUUUUUUCCCACACACUCUCCACUGUCUGAGUGUUACAGACAGGUUGUAUGUUAAGUUGGUUAAUACUUGUUUUUCCUUUUUUUUUUUUUUUAAGUUUUAGAUGUACCAUGACAUCCGUAGAAAGAUGAAAGCUGUAGAUCUCUCUAAAGGGAAUUAUUUCUUAUGCUCUUAGCUGCCUAUGGCCUGAAGAGCAUUUAUCCAUCAUUCAUUUAUUUAGACCAGCUGUCACUAUUGCCACCCGGGCUGCUCUUGAACUUGGUAUCAUCAUCUUCCUUCAGCCUCCUAAGUGCUGGGAUUCUAGGGGUUUACCGUUACUGGCAGCUUAAGGAGUUUUUAAAUAAUGUUUUCCAAAAAAACCUAAUAAAAUACUUUAAUAUUACUCAUUACAUUAAAUAUUUAUAAAAUUAAAUUAAAUCAUAUUUAAUUAAUAAAUAUACUUUAUUUAAUAAAUACUACACUUAAUAUGAAAUACUGUACUGGCUAAAAGUGAAAGCAUUUGGCUUCCACUCUGAUAAGGCAGAUUCUUCUGUUCCUAACAAGCUGUGGUCAAUUGCUGUUACUCUGUCUCAUAAUUCACACACCAGAAAGUCUGUGGGUCACAAUCAUCACUGACUUGAUGUUACCUCGUUAUGCUCUUUAUAAUUAAAACAAACAAACAAAGUAACCCUAGAAGUCCCCUACUGAGGAAAGAGUUGAGAUCCUUUGCAAUCAUUUUUAUUUAAAAUACUUUGUCACCAAGCCGGUUAAGUAGGCAAACAGGUGGUGUCUUGGUAAGUAACUGUGGUUGCCGUGUAAGCAUAAAGAUACAAGUUUGAAUCCCUGAAGCACUCACAGAAAACACUCUGUAUGAGACUAACUCAGAGACAGGAGGGUUAAGGCGUUUCAUUGGCUACCAGCCUAGCUAUGGGUACAUUGAGAGAUCCUGUCUCAGGGGAAUCAGGCAGAGUACAAGAACAGGAUGCCUGAUGUCUUCCUCAGCCUCUGCAUGUGCAGAGGUGCACAUACUGAUAUAUACAAUCGCACACACACAGAGAGUCAAGCAUUCUUCUUGGUCGCUCUUGAUCUCAGCUCAGUCAGCAUUCAGACAUAACAGCUCUUGAUAAGGACAAUGUACUAAAUGACAACCUUUGCCUGUAUCUCUGAGACUUCCCAGAAGACCUAUGGAAAGCUGUGUAAAACAUUUCUUCUUUCACCUGUACAGAAAACAAACACUGAAGCGUGUGUAGUGUGCCACUACGGGUGGAUGGCUAGAGAAGAGACAUCAGACGCUAAGAGGUGCUUAGCUUUUCCUGGGCUGAAGCCAUAGGGGUAAAGUGACAGCAAUAUCUCAGAAACUAUACAAUCCUGUGUGUUGCCUGGUGACACGGAGGUGCCUAGCUGUCCCUGUGUGAUGUCACUUGCCAGAGCCCUGGUGCUGCUCUGUGUUGCGUCAAAUGAAAGAAUGGUGUCUUCAAUCCUCAUGUCACUGAUGCACAAAAUGCUGGUGGGGUCUCAGCUUGGUCUCUUCAAGCUCGACUCUAGCUUUUGACCCAUCAGUGGGCUACAGCACUGACUUCCCAUCAUCUCCCUACAGAUGCAGUGGCAAAUGGCUGCUCUGCCUCACUCCAUCCUCGUGAAAUCUAUGGCUGUCCCUCACAUUACCUUGGUGUGUUCUGACCAUGUGUGUGCUCACAUAGUCAUGAGAGAGCCUUAUUUUUGAAAAUUAUCACCGUAUUAGUUAUUAUAGAAAAAUACUCUGACCAAAGCAACAUAAGAAAGAAAAUGGUUUGGGUGUUUUUGUUUGUUUCAUUUGUUUGAUUACAGUUCCAGAUAGAAUUCACCAUAGCGACAUCCAGGCAGUAGGGUGAGAAGUUGGCUGACCAUACACAGGAAUGGGGGGGUGGGGGGAACAGGAACUGGAAUAAGACUAUAAAACCUCAAAGCUUAUCCCAACCCACCCCUCCAAUGUCAUUCUUCCAGCAAGGUUCCACAUCCUAAAAGCUCCCAAACCUUCCCAAGCAAGUUCAGAGGUCAAAGGAUCAAAUCUACAAGCCAAUGAAGGACUUUGGAGGUCUAAUGAGGUCCUUACAGCCACCUGCCAUCUUUCUUUCUUUUUUUUUUUAAUUCAAAAACAAUUUUUAUUAGAUAUUUUCUUCAUUUACAUUUCAAAUGCUAUCCCAAAAGUCCCCUAUACCCCCCCCCUGCCCUGCUCCCCAGCCCACCCUGCCAUCUUCCAUACACAGUUAAUAGUUUUAUAGUACAGUUUUGUUGCUGUUGUUUGUCUCAUUCUGAUGCUUCGGCUGCCAGCCCGAAUGUUUAUUUUUUGGCAAGAAGAUGGGCUCAGAGCCCAAAAGGAUCCUGCCAGGUAUAUUCAGGUGCAGGCUUCUAACUAAGCCAGGGGCUGGAGAGUCCUAGGGGGAAAAUGAUGGCUGCAAGCAGGAUGGAGCUGAGUGAGAAUUUUAAAAAAACAAAUGAGAGGCUGUGGAGGGGAUGGCUCAGUGUGUAAGGGCAUUUGCUGUGCAAGCAGGAAGACCUUCUCUGGCCCUCAUACUUAAACAAAACAAAAUAAAAACAAACAAGACAAAAAACCCAAAAAACCAACAACAAACAAACAAAAACCAACCAAACCAAAAACAAGACAAAACAAAACAAAACAAAACAAAACAAAACAAAAAAUCAGCACAGCAUCAUGCCAGAGCAGAAACAAAGAGCUGCUAGAGCUUCCUCCACCCUCCUAGCUUGAGAUUCAGUGAGAGUCCCUGUUUCGAAGGAGUAGGAAAGAGAGCAGUAGUCCUCUGGCCUGGGCAUGAAUCCUGUACACACAAGCUUUUACACAGGCACCCCACCCUGCGUAUGCACACAAAGAAAGCCAGUGCAUUUAGGAAGGAUGACCCUGGUCUUUAUUUGGAACACUGCUGACAUUUUAAUGCAGUGUUUCUGAAUUCGUAAAGAGCUCCUUCUAACGAUAAAUAAUCCUUAAUUCACCAACAGCCAUUUAGACCUGGCUUUUGGAAACUGAAACCAAACAUUUCUAUAUGUGAUACAUUAUUUCCUUACUAUACCACACCAGGCCGACCCUAGAUUUUGAGAACUCUUCUCGACUAUUCUUAUUUUCGUGGGUAUAUAAUUACAGGCUUAGUAAGACAUCUGUCCUCCCUCACGAGCCCUCGCAUCUCUCUAAGAACCUGUAUGUAGUUAAUGGUAGCUGUGGGAAGGAGAGAUGUUUUCUUCAGUGGUGUAGCCACUGGUAAGAUGCUCAUAUUGUGUUAUGGCUCAUCAUCCACACUCCUGCAAGCAACCUUAAACUCAUCAGAACACACACACACACACACACACACACACACACACACACACACAGCAUGGAUGAAGAACAAAGUGCCCUGCCAUAAAGGCUGCUGUUAGUGGUUUACAGCUGCUUGGGUGUCUGUCUUUAACAGAGCAUCCUUCUUAAACAGGCUGGUCCAGCCUGGGCACUGUAAUCAGUAUCUCCAAUCGUUGCCUUCCUAACAUGGAGACCAGACUACUUUUAGAUGACUUGUUACUGUGUCUCAAUCAUCCAUCAUGAUGGGUUUCGUGAAUGCAGACAAUGUCCCGGGCAUAUCCAUCCCUACCCUUCACUUCCUACUCCCAUCAUUCCCUUUCCUAAUUAGCUGAGAGCUCUGGAAGCUACAGGGCUAGGGGUAGGAAUGGUGGGGGUAGGGGUGUGUGGGAGAGUGGGGGUAGUGAAGGGAGGGAGGCAAAAGGGGGUAGUGGAAAGUCCACCCUCUAAUCUAAUGCUAAUCUAAUCUAAUCUAAUCUAAUGCUAAUGCUGUCUGCACUUGCUCCUCAAUUGCAAACCCAGGCCCUAGUACUCUCCUUGCUGCUCUUUCUGGGAACUUUCCAAACCACUUGGCAAUAAUCUAGUUGUAUGUGGUGGGUGUUUUGUUUUUGUUUUUGUUUUGUUUAGUUUGUUUUGAGACUUAGCCUAUGUAACCCAGGUUUGUCUCAAAUCUAAGCAUACUUAGCUUUUAUGGUGCUGGGGUGUGGUGCCAGGCUUCCUUCAUGCAUGUUAGGUGAGCAUUUUACCCACUGAGCUGUAUUCUAGCCCCAGUACUAAUUCAGCUAAGGAUUAGCUAGGAAUACCUUCCUAGCAAUCAUCUUUCUUAAGAGAUAAGUUCAAGUCUCAAGCAAGGGCUUUGUUGCAGUCAUAUGACCAAACAGAAAACAGCAUGCUACACAUACCAGCUUCGUGGGAGUGUCCGGCUCAGAAAGACGCCUCUAAGCUCAGACAUGGAGCUUCACAGAGUUUACUAGAAAAGGUUAGUAGUGGCUUGAACGUGCAAUGUCCCUCCAAGGCUUAGUCAGUGACUUGUGGAAUUACUCUGAAUUGUAUAGAGUCUUUGGGGAGGUGGAAAAUGGCCAGAGGAAGUAGUUCCCUAGGGGCUGUGGAGCUGUGAGGGUUAUAUCUGGCUACUGUUUGCAGCCUUCUUGCUUGUUCCCUGGCCAGCUGUGGUGUGAGGAGGCUCAGACACACACUCCACUGACAUGGGCUCCGACGUACCUUUCCACCAGCACAUCUGUCUGACACGAUAACCCAAACAACCCUUUAGGCUGCUUCUAUCCAGUAUACUGUAACAGAGGCACAGAAUGUAACUAAUACAGCACCAGGCGUUUUAUUUUAGUCUUAAAGUCAUUUAUAAUUCAUUUGAAUUUUUCUCUACUCUUGAUACUAUAGAAAACCAGUGACCAAAUGAAUGCCAUAGUGAAGGAACCAGGUCAAGCCAAUGUUAUUUAUAGUAGGGGGUAAUGAGAAUUCAUCUGCUUAGUUUGAGAGAGCACCGACAACCAGGUCUUAAUCAAGGUAAAUCAUGAUGCUGUCUUCCUACCCUCCCUCCAUAUAAAAACUGAAAGGGGAGGAAUCAUGAACCUCUGUCUGAGGGACUGUAGGCGGCUAGAAAGAUGUAAGGCAUUUUUUCCAGUGCUAUAGUCACUAGCAAGGUACUUAUAACCCUGUACCCAUGAUCCUGUAAGCAAUCCCAAUGAAAGACAGACAGACAGACAGACAGACACACACACACAGAGAGAGACAGAGAGAGAGAGAGAGAGAGAGAGAGAGAGAGAGAGAUUUGCCUGUCUCCUCCAUCCUGAUAUUGUAUUUUUCCUCCUCACUUGACACAUACACACAGACCUGUGAUUUGAAGUUCUGUUUUGCUGUAACUGCUAAAAAUUCAUAACCCUGGAGAGUGUGUGAGCUUCCAAAACACUAUUCCACGGUGCCCACUGAGCUUGCUCCACUCCCAGCACACACAUCACAGCACAGCAUAUCAAUCCAGGCCUGAAGCAGCUCAGAUGCAGCAAGUCACUGCCUUCCUCUAAUUCUGUUUAGGGCUUAAUCCCUCCUCCCUUCACAGGAGUGAGUGCUCCUCCCUAGCAGUCUUUCUCCAGCGAGAUCACUUGGUCUGAGAGGAAAAUCUACAGAGUUACUCAAGGGCUUGUUUUCUCAGUUCUCUGCAAGGAUGGCACACACUGUAGGCGGGAAGAAAAUGAAUUCACCGAGUUCUGUGGCUGUCUCUGUGAUCGGGAGCAGUUCUGCCUAGGAAUCUAGAUGAGAGACACUGGUGAUGUCAGAUUUUCACACAAAUCGGCCUCAUACAUAGAAGGACCUUCUAAGUUUAGCACCCAUUCCUGGUCAGGCAAGGUUUGACUACCACAGCAGGGAAUAGGGGGCAGAGGAUGGGAGUGGAGCAGGAAGGAUGUAGAUGUGACUGGAACUUCCCGCCCCAGCACCUCUGGAUGCUGUCCAAGGAUGUUGUCUUGUCUGUAUAUAAGGUAGUUAAUAAAUCGAUUAACGUGUGGAUCUGAAUAUAUGUAUACAAUUCAUAUAUUAGAAUAUGUAAUAAUAGAUCAGCUUACAAACAAUGCUACAGAUAGAAAUAGGAUUGAAAAAUAGUCAAAUUUGAAGCUUAUUGUAAGUUUGAUAGGAUUUAUGGCAAUUCAGUGUCAGCUAGUAAUUAUAUAUUCUGCAUUAGAAUAAAAAAUAAUAGCAGGGGUAGAAGGCUUAGGAUAAAUAAAAAUUUAAUUCAUGUAGUAUAUAAGGGAACGUUAAUAUAUUUAGUUAGAUUCGUUAUAGAAAUAAAGAGCGGUAUUAUAAGUAGAAUAAAGAUUAUAAUAAUUGAGGAUGAAACUAUAUUUAUUAUUUUUAUUUGGAGUUGCAUCAAGGUUUUUGGUUCCUAAGACCAAUGGAUUACUUCUAUCCUGUAAAAGUAAGAAAGCCAUGUGAUUAAACAUGCGGACAUGAAUUAGCAGUUCUUGCAUGCUUUCUUGGUAAAUAAGGAGGAUUAUCUCCUGUUAUUAGAUUCACAGUCUAAUGUUUUUUAAAACUAUAUUUACAUAGUGUUAAGCCUGUAAUAAGUUUAGGAUUAAUAGUUAAUAAAAUAAGUGGAAUAAUAUGAAGGGCAAUGAGUGUAAGUUCUCAUGUAUGUGAAGGUUGUAAAUUAUUUAUAUGAUUAAUUAGCUUGCCUCAUUGGGUUGUAGCAAUUACUUUCCAGAUACCUCCUGCCAUGUGGGGAUCUGACAUUUGCUUCGGAGUCUCCAACAACCCUGACUAAUGUUGCACUCUACUCUGUGGUCAUAUAUUGCAAGACAGCUCAGAACCACUCAAGAAGCAGCUCAGUGGAGUGUGUUACCUGGUGCCUACUCCGGACCUUCAGGUAGAGGUCACUACUGUCUCUGGAAUUCAUCACCCUGCCCCAGUGCCCUGGGCUGGACUUGGGGGUCUUUGGAUCUCAGGCUGCCUAACACACCCUUGCCAUCUCUGCUUACCCAAUUCUGUCUUAUUGGUACACAAAUUCUGGCAUAGAAAGAAAAGGGAAGGGGGCUCUGGGCGUUCAAGUCAUGGGGUCAUCAAAAAAAGAGUCUGGGCUGGGUUUGCAGUUCUAGAGGACAGAGGAAGUAUACCUUCCUACUCCAAAAUACAAGGUAUGCUUUGGGGUAAAGCCAAGAGAAAGGGCUGUUUGUCGGAUUGAUUAAAGUCUCUCUGAGGAUAUUAUCUUGCUGCUCAAAAAGGUUCUAUUUAAGCUCAAAAGGAGGAGAAACAGUUUCGGGGAGGGGGAGUCAUCGAGGGACAAGAGCCAUCAUAGUGGAAAUUGAACGGUGCAGCUGAAGACAACAGUUGGGGUAUCAGACUUUUCUGAAUUUGAAUGCCAUCUGUCAAGAGAGAGAGAGAGAGAGAGAGAGAGAGAGAGAGAGAGAGAGAGAGAGAGAGAGAGAGAGAGAGAACUGAUAGGAGUUUUGGAAUACUAAAAACAAAGGUCUGUAAGUAUUUCCUUCCCUUUUCCAAACCUACUAUCGAAGGAGAUUCAUGUGCCUCAAGGGGCCCCGAUGGCUCUGCUGGAGCAACUUUUAUUGUACCCCUCCUCAACACAGUCCUUGCUCCAUCCUGGGGGUGGGUGGGGGUGGGUGAGUGUGUGUGUGUGUGGAGGGAGGGAGUUGCUGCCCGCACGGUCCCCUCGCUCCUGUCUGUCAGUCUUUGAUGCACACUUCAGUCUCAUCCCUGCACCUGGGUGAGGCCAGCGGCAUUCUCAGGCAGAGCAUUGCAGAACAAGGAAUAACGGGGCGCACUCCCUCCUUGAUUUCCCAACAGCAACGGUCUUCCUUCACAGCACUCACUGCUGAGCGCUUCAACACCAACACCGAAAUAAAAAGAAACUAACCCAACAAUUAGCCAAGGAUAGAUGGAUGAUCACCACCCAUUAAGUCGCUCCUGACUUUCUCACUCCAAACUCUUCCUCACUGUCCGUACCCAGAAUUCUGUUCUUCAUGUACACCGGGAGCACUAGGGGGCACACAGUACAGGGAGACCAAAGAGAAUCCCAUCUGGAGAAAAAAAAAACUUCACUCAUGUUGCAGAGCACCCAGGUUGGGCUCCUCCGUCUGAGGCUCAGACCCACACACUCCCCAGCCUGGAGUUGGGGUGAGGGGGGCUGCCCACACAGAAAGGGGACAAGAGGCUGCAGACAGUCAAGAAGGGGUCAAGAGGAACCAACUUCCAGUCUCACUUUAAGCACCCCAUUGGGUAGCUGCAGCAGGGAUGUUGCAAACAAGUAGCACCCUGGUAAUUAGCUGGUCUCAGAAGGGACAGGUAGGUGGUCGGGUAGCUCUAGGAAAAAGGCGGCAGAAGGGCAAGCGGGGGUGGGGGGAGAAGGGGGUCAGGAGAUGGGAGGGGAAGCUGCGAAGGGCGAGAGGAGGCUGCGGUGAGGCCAGGGGGUGCGGGAGAGCAGGUGGUGCCCUUACCCGCCGAGGCCGAGCGCAGGCUCUCCAGGCUCCGGGAGCGCGACGGGGCGCCGCGCAUGCCCGCAGCGCGGCCACUGCACACCACGCCGCUGCUGUCCGAGUCGGAACCCGGGGACACCCCAGUGCUGCUGCUGCUGCUUGUGCCCAGAUCGCCGCUGGUAGGGCCACUGGACUCGCUGGGGCAGCGCGGCGCCCCGGGGCAAGCGGCUCCGAGCUCCAGCCACAGGCCGGCGGGGUCGCCAGCAGCAUCCCCGCCGCACUGCCGUAGCUUCGGGUCCCCCGACAUCGCGGUGCUCCUCUGAGCAGGCUCGCCGCGGGGCCCCCGGUGCGGGCGCGGGACCCCGUCUGGACACUGCCGGGCGGCCACCCGGCAGGGCGCAGAGCGCGUGGGCCCCGCUGCGGGUCGCCGGCCGGGCGGCGCGCUCUCGCCCGCGCGCACGCAGACCUGGGGCGCGGACGCGGGCCCCGGGCCGCCCUGAGUCCUCACCGCGGCCGCUGCCUUCGGCGCGCGGGCAUCAGGGAGAAGAAUGCGCCCUGCUGUGGAGCGGGCGAGCGAGCGCGAGGGACGCUCGCUCCUCAAGGGCUAAGAGAGCGCCCCCCCCCCGCCAAGUGCAAUCAAAGGGUCCCCGCAGGUAACACCUAGGACGCCCCCCAGCCCCGCAGCCACCCACGCUGGCCUGGGGGCGCGCUCGCCUGGGUGCGCCCUCGUGCACAGGUGAGCGGUGACCGCGGCCCUCUUGACCUCAGUGGUGCCACGAACGAACGGACCCUUUAAAACAUAGUGUCACGGGAAAAAUGGUUUGACCACAAGGAAUCAAAGUUCAGUGACAAACAAAAAACGGGGACGCUGGCAGGUGACAAGGAGCCAAGAGUUACUUGUCCUUUCUGAGAAGGAUGUCAGUUGCUUUUUCCCAGACACUCUAGGGCCUUGUUCUUGGAAUAUACCUGGGGGAUGGCGAUAAGGAAUUACAAAAUCAGAGGCAAGAUGAUGGGGGCAUCGGCCUCACCUGGAGCUUGAGAGGUGUGAGGGGAAGUCUUGAUAGAAAGAAGCUGACCCUCUCUUCCUUUUCUCUCCUCCCACUUCCUCCUAGCAACAGCACUCUGUGUCCUUGUAAUUCUGCUCAAGACUGCUACAGACAUUUCAGAUGAGAACGACACUGGGCAAGGCAGAAGAGCAUGCUCUUGUCCUUGCAUCCGGAGAGCUUAUUUCUUGAGGCCACCUCCAUCCCUAAUUGGCAUGUGUACUUGGCUCUGCAUCACCAGGAACCCUGUAUGUUCACAGAUCCCAGCCCCUGUGCCCUAAACACUCAGCUGACAGCCUCCAGGGUGUUAAGUUAAUUGCAGUUCCGAACAAUAACUGGUGUCGGAUUUCACUUGAUGGACCUCGGAGGGUGUCUUAGCCACGCCCCUAGUCUAUUUUACUCAUUUUAGGGCUGUGGGGGAGAGUUCAUACACUUCCUGGUCCCUUUAUAUUCAGCUCCCAUACUCGAGAGCCUGUCUUCAUUCUUUCCUGACCUCGAGAAGAGCAGUUGUCUCCUUUGCCUGCUUCCCGGAUUCAGUCUGUCUGCAGGGAGGAUCGGUUACCAUCUGUAGUUCUCCUAGGCUGUCCUCUGAAGGGUUCUCUGCUGCCAGCGUGAGUCACUCUCCCUCCAUGUUGCCUCCAUGUGUGCACAAGACUUGCAGAUCUACCUCCUGAGUGACAGUUGAGUUGGUUGUUUCUCUGUUGCUCUACCAUGUCUGGAAGGCAGCUUCCAGAGAGCUUCUAGCUUCCCACGGAGUUGCCAGAGGGUGCUUGAGAAUAUAGAUCACAUCAGGUCGGUCUCCUGCACCACUUUUCCCAAGGGUUCUUUUUACACCCUAGAUGACCCCUAAAACCUACACGUUCCGGCUGGACUGGUUUCUGUGCCACCCCCCUCCAACCCCAUCCUCGCCAUUCCUGUCCUGACUCUGCUCCAGCCUCAGUGGCUACCUUACUCAUCUUGCCUCUGGGUUUCUGCACAUUCUGGCCCUGGCUUGCUCUGCUCUCUGCAGUCUAUGGAAUUGGUUCCUCAGCCUUCACAUAUGGUGCAUAUCCUUCCUCAGGAAGAUGAUAUUUAUUUCGUUCCAGAACUUGCUUCCACUAGUUGGCCAUUCUGUGUUUAUUCCUUUUCUGAGCUGAGGCUAUGCCACCUUACCCCAUAGCAUUCCUAGACUGUGCACGGCUUUGUCCACAGGCUCCAUGUUCCAUGAAUGGCUGUGGAGGGAUGAAUGGCAUCUGGAGCUGGGCAAAUGCCCAGCUAGGUAGAAGGAGACCUCUGCUCUUUUGGGCCAAGACUUUGAGGAGACGGAAGUGUACUCGGGAGCUUAUGGUGCCAGGGUUGCAAGUCAGGUAACAGCAAGGGAGCUCCAUUGGCCGUCGAGAAGAAUGUGCACAAGGCAGAUGUUGGAGGGAAUAUUCCGUGGGGGGUUUCUUAAGUCAUGUGAUCAAUGGCACAGAUUAAUUCUGAAGCUCCUUGGCUGACUUUCUUGUCUGGAUGACCCAUCAGUUGAUGAGAGGUGAGUAUGGAGCUGUAUCUGGAGCUACUGGUCCAUGCGUGUGCAAUGGUGUUUGUUUUUAUGAAACUGCACCAGUGUGUGCAGGUAGUGUACAGAUACUUACAACGUAACAUCUUGACUGAUGGACCCCUUUUGUAAUAUGUGACGAUGACCUUUGUCUCUUCUGGCUACUUUUGGUUUGGUUCCUGCUAUGUCAGAUAUAAAUUCAGAUACCCCC